rnacentral:rRNA from 1 species
GACGAACGCUGGCGGCGUGCUUAACACAUGCAAGUCGAGCGGAAAGGCCACUUCGGUGGUACUCGAGCGGCGAACGGGUGAGUAACACGUGAGUAAUCUGCCCUUGGCUUUGGGAUAGCCACCGGAAACGGUGAUUAAUACCGGAUACGACCACUCCAGGCAUCUGGUGGUGGUGGAAAGUUUUUCGGCCAGGGAUGUGCUCGCGGCCUAUCAGCUUGAUGGUGAGGUAAUGGCUCACCAUGGCUUCGACGGGUAGCCGGCCUGGGAGGGUGACCGGUCACACUGGGACUGAGACACGGCCCAGACUCCUACGGGAGGCAGCAGUGGGGAAUAUUGGACAAUGGGCGGAAGCCUGAUCCAGCAACGCCGCGUGAGGGAUGACGGCCUUCGGGUUGUAAACCUCUUUCGGUAGGGACGAAGCGCAAGUGACGGUACCUACUAAAGAAGCACCGGCCAACUACGUG